rnacentral:rRNA from 1 species
GUCCACGCCGUAAACGAUGGAUACUAGGUGUUGGGGGUAUCGACCCCUCCAGUGCCGCAGUUAACACAAUAAGUAUCCCACCUGGGGGAGUACGGUCGCAAGAUUGAAACUCAAAGGAAUUGACGGGGGCCCGCACAAGCAGUGGAGUAUGUGGUUUAAUUCGAAGCAACGCGAAGAACCUUACCAGGACUUGACAUCCAUAGAAUGCUUAAGAGAUUAGGCAGUGCCUUCGGGAGCUAUGAGACAGGUGGUGCAUGGUUGUCGU